rnacentral:rRNA from 1 species
CAGUAGCCGCGGUAAUACGUAGGUCCCGAGCGUUGUCCGGAUUUAUUGGGCGUAAAGCGAGCGCAGGCGGUUAGAUAAGUCUGAAGUUAAAGGCUGUGGCUUAACCAUAGUACGCUUUGGAAACUGUUUAACUUGAGUGCAAGAGGGGAGAGUGGAAUUCCAUGUGUAGCGGUGAAAUGCGUAGAUAUAUGGAGGAACACCGGUGGCGAAAGCGGCUCUCUGGCUUGUAACUGACGCUGAGGCUCGAAAGCGUGGGGAGCAAACAGGAUUAGAUACCCCAGUAGUCCCUGUCUCUUAUACA